ACGAAGUGCUUCGGCACUUAGUGGCGGACGGGUGAGUAACGCGUGAGAAUCUGCCAAAAGGACUGGGACAACAGCUGGAAACGGCUGCUAAUACCGGAUAUGCCAGAAAGUGAAAUGGGUAAAACCGCCUUUUGAUGAGCUCGCGUCCGAUUAGCUAGUUGGUGGGGUAAAAGCCUACCAAGGCGACGAUCGGUAACUGGUCUGAGAGGAUGACCAGUCACACUGGGACUGAGACACGGCCCAGACUCCUACGGGAGGCAGCAGUGGGGAAUUUUCCGCAAUGGGCGAAAGCCUGACGGAGCAAUACCGCGUGAGGGAGGAAGGCUCUUGGGUUGUAAACCUCUUUUCUCAGGGAAGAACACAAUGACGGUACCUGAGGAAUCAGCAUCGGCUAACUCCGUGCCAGCAGCCGCGGUAAUACGGAGGAUGCAAGCGUUAUCCGGAAUGAUUGGGCGUAAAGCGUCCGCAGGUGGCUUUGCAAGUCUGCUGUCAAAGCUCAGGGCUUAACCCUGAAUCGGCGGUGGAAACUGAAAGGCUAGAGUGUGGUAGGGGCAGAGGGAAUUCCCAGUGUAGCGGUGAAAUGCGUAGAGAUUGGGAAGAACACCAGUGGCGAAAGCGCUCUGCUAGACCGCAACUGACACUCAUGGACGAAAGCUAGGGGAGCGAAUGGGAUUAGAUACCCCAGUAGUCCUAGC
rnacentral:rRNA from 1 species